rnacentral:rRNA from 1 species
CCUAACACAUGCAAGUCGAGGGGUAUAUAGUGCUUGCACUAUAGAGACCGGCGCACGGGUGAGUAACGCGUAUGGAAUCUGCCUUGUACAGGGGAAUAGACCAGGGAAACUUGGAUUAAUGCCCCAUAGUAUUAUAGAACGGCAUUGUUUUAUAAUUAAAGAUUUAUCGGUACAAGAUGAUCAUGCGUCCCAUUAGCUAGUUGGUGUGGUAACGGCACACCAAGGCUACGAUGGGUAGGGGCCCUGAGAGGGGGAUCCCCACACUGGUACUGAGACACGGACCAGACUCCUACGGGAGGCAGCAGUGAGGAAUAUUGGACAAUGGGCGAGAGCCUGAUCCAGCCAUGCCGCGUGCAGGAAGACUGCCCUAUGGGUUGUAAACUGCUUUUUUACGGGAAGAAACACCCCCUCGUGAGGGGGCUUGACGGUACCGUAAGAAUAAGGACCGGCUAACUCCGUGCCAGCAGCCGCGGUAAUACGGAGGGUCCGAGCGUUAUCCGGAAUCAUUGGGUUUAAAGGGUCCGUAGGCGGGCGAUUAAGUCAGUGGUGAAAGUCUGCAGCUCAACUGUAGAAUUGCCAUUGAUACUGGUUGCCUUGAGUCGUUGUGAAGUGGCUAGAAUAUGUGGUGUAGCGGUGAAAUGCUUAGAUAUCACAUAGAAUACCGAUUGCGAAGGCAGGUCACU